rnacentral:hammerhead_ribozyme from 1 species
GCAUUGUUGAGGAGUCCAAUGCUUGGACGAAACGGCCGUCCAGUGC